rnacentral:lncRNA from 1 species
AGCAUACGCAUAGGCAGAACGAAGAAACAGCAUCAAAUCACAAGCAAGAUUAUAAUUUCUCGGCCGUAAUCCCAAUUACAAGAGCAAUAUUAAGCAAAACAGACCUGAGCCAUCUCGUGAUGAAAAGGGAUUUUCUGAUCGGGCGGGGACUCAUUGGCAGUGAAGACCCGGCCAACGACGUUAGUCCUAGGAGCAGCACCGCCCACAUACGGCAGUUCCUCGUACCCAAACGCUUCAACAACGUCGUUGAAGCCAACAGCAGUGGAUACAGAAAAACCCCUGAAAAGAAUAGCCCCGUGUUGAUGCAGAACAGAAUCCAGCCAUGACUUCUGAUCUUUAAUGGCGUCAGUUAAACUGUGAAAUUCUACUGAAUUUCUUGCGUUGGGAGAUAAUAUUUUGGGGAAAACAAACCCUUCGAAGAUUUUUUGCUGCGGAAUUUUGAUUUCUGUGAAGAAAUUUUGAGCCAUUUUUAUUUGAUUAAGAUUUGUUACACUUAUCUUCUUCUACUUCUUAUUU